GCCGACGGAGUCAGGAUUCCCAUCCCUUUGCUAGGCCCUUUGCCCGGUGUGGUGGGCGCCGUCGCCAUGUCCUGAAGACAGACACAAACACAUGGGCAUGGUGGAUAUCGUGGUGGCUCUAGAAGGAAGUACUUACGCUCCACAUCUGAGGGUCCCAGGCAUGGAACCAUCCGGUGAAGGUCGGGGGCUCGAAGCCCUGUUUGAUCAGGACGAUGGGCGUGUCGACGUCACGGCCGGCCGGGUGCGAACGCAGAUAUUCCUGGGCCGUCGUCACGGCAGCGUCCCUCUCGACGGGAUUGGCCCCCCUCCCCAUCCACAGGCACACCUGUAAAGAGACAACCAGCGUCCAAAUCAAGAAUUUCACGUUGGACAUAAAUUGCUGAAACGUCAAUUAACCUCCUCAUCGACUUAAAUUACUGUUCCAAUACAAGAAUAACAUAAAUACAAUUAUAAUGUAAAACCGACCUUCAAACAGAGAAAUGUAAAAAAUAACGAGUUAUUAACAAUCAAAAUGAAAGGGGUCCCCUAGUCACCAUGUCCCAUAUAUCGAGGAGCAUGAUGUCGUCCUCGUCCAGGUCUUCCUGGUCGAAGUUUGUAAUCUCGGUGGCCAGGAAGCGGCCCGUCUGGUUGGAGCACUCGAAGAGCCGCGGGGUGACGCUGUUCAGGCCGUCCUGGAGUCUGUGGAGGCGCAGGCGGAGUAAAGCCCGGUCAGGAACCAUCGCAACAAACACUCUCUCUCUGGUGGCUCAUUUUCAAAGAGUCGAAGCGAAGCGAGAUCCCGGACAGUAUGAAUGAGUGGAAACCGGCACUGGUUUGAUAUUGGCCAAAGUUUGGUUUCCUUUUUGGCUGUUUCAAUCACUGAGGUUGGGAUGGAUAUAUUACACUUCCUUCUCUUUUAAAUUUGUUUUAUAUAUAUAUAUAUAUAUAUAUACAAAUAUUAUACAUUGUCAAGAUUCAGUUACAUUAUCGAUAUUAUAGGUCAAAUGAACAUGGAAGAGCUCUCAAUGUGUCAUCAUGUGUAUCGGCGUUCCCUCCUGGCGUCCUAUAGUUCCCCGCCCGUGCAUCGGCCCCCGGUGGGUCGGGUACCUCUUGCUGUUGGCGUACUGCGUUUUGCCGCCCAGGCUGACCCAGAAGAGGUCGGGCUCUUGGCCCUCGGCGAUGACAAGCUUCUCUCUUCUGGAGAUAAUGUCGGCCAGGGAUUUACCCAUCAGCCGCUCAUCACCACUGCAGCCCUGAGAGCGACACCAUCAGGCAGUUAUCACUCGGACGGGCAAUCAUUUCGUCUCUGUUAUCACGUCGACUAGGACAGGCACCUUUUCCGUCUCAGUUAUCACACCAACUCAGACAGGCACUUAUGCAGCCUCUCUCUUUGAAUACAGCUCCCAUUGACUUA